UCACAGGGGUCUGCUGGUGCCAAUCCCACCCAACACAGGGCGCAAGGCAAGAACCAAUCCAGGGCAGCAUUGUUCUUUCAUAAGAUAAAAUUCAUGAUUGUGUUGUUUCAUUAUUUCUUUCUUAUUAUAUAUACAUUUGUUAUAUCAACACUCAACGGCUUUUUCAUCCCUGGGUAUUUUAUUGCAACAAUCGUUAUUUUAUUUUGCCUGGCUACUUUGCUUUAUCUCAUGAAAAUUCAACGUCAGUACAAAUGUCCAGGUAAGGUUUUAACUUU